GACGAACGCUGGCGGCGUGCUUAACACAUGCAAGUCGAGCGGAGCGGCGAACGGGUGCGUAACGCGUGAGUAACUGCCCCCCCCGCUGGGAUAACAGUUGGAAACGGCUCCUAAUACCGGAUAGUGGGGGAUGACUGGGGGCCUAUCAGCUUGUUGGUGGGGUAGUGGCCGACCAAGGCGACGACGGGUAGCCGGCCUGCGAGGGGGACCGGCCACAUUGGGCUACGGUACGGACCAAUCGCCAACGGGGGGCAACAGUGGGGAAUAUGGCACAAUGGGGGAAAGUCUGAUGCAGCGACGCCGCGUGCGUAAUGACGGCCUUCGGGUUGUAAACCGCUUUCAGCCAUGACGCGGUAGUGGCAGAAGAAGCACCGGCUAACUACGUGCCAGCAGCCGCGGUAAUAC
rnacentral:rRNA from 1 species